rnacentral:rRNA from 1 species
GACGAACGCUGGCGGCGUGCUUAACACAUGCAAGUCGAACGGAAAGGCCCUGCUUUUGUGGGGUGCUCGAGUGGCGAACGGGUGAGUAACACGUGAGUAACCUGCCCUUGACUUUGGGAUAACUUCAGGAAACUGGGGCUAAUACCGGAUAGGAGCUCCUGCUGCAUGGUGGGGGUUGGAAAGUUUCGGCGGUUGGGGAUGGACUCGCGGCUUAUCAGCUUGUUGGUGGGGUAGUGGCUUACCAAGGCUUUGACGGGUAGCCGGCCUGAGAGGGUGACCGGCCACAUUGGGACUGAGAUACGGCCCAGACUCCUACGGGAGGCAGCAGGGGGGAAUAUUGCACAAUGGGCGGAAGCCGGAUGCAGCAACGCCGCGUGCGGGAUGACGGCCUUCGGGUUGUAAACCGCUUUCGCCUGUGACGAAGCGUGAGUGACGGUAAUGGGUAAAGAAGCACCGGCUAACUACGUG